rnacentral:rRNA from 1 species
GAUGAACGCUGGCGGCGUGCCUAAUACAUGCAAGUCGAGCGAACAGAUAAGGAGCUUGCUCCUUUGACGUUAGCGGCGGACGGGUGAGUAACACGUGGGUAACCUACCUAUAAGACUGGGAUAACUUCGGGAAACCGGAGCUAAUACCGGAUAACAUUUGGAACCGCAUGGUUCUAAAGUGAAAGAUGGUUUUGCUAUCACUUAUAGAUGGACCCGCGCCGUAUUAGCUAGUUGGUAAGGUAACGGCUUACCAAGGCAACGAUACGUAGCCGACCUGAGAGUGGGACCGCCCACACGGAAGCAGACACAGGGCCCAGGGUCCUGAGGGAGGGAGAAGGAGGGAAUGUGCGGCAGGGGGCGAGAGCCGGACGGACGAGGCCCGCGUGAGUGAUAAAGGUGUCAGGCUCGUAAAACUGGUUUAUGAGGGAAAAACAAAUGUGUAAUUACCUGUGCACGUCUUGACGGUACCUAAUCAGAAAGCCACGGCUAACUACGUG